rnacentral:rRNA from 1 species
CUGGAAUGGGCAAUGACUUAAAUCUAUAUGGCCCCUGGAUUGGACUGCGGCCGAUCAGGCUGUUGGUGAGGUAAUGGCCCACCAAACCUGUAACCGGUACGGGCUCUGAGAGGAGGAGCCCGGAGAUGGGCACUGAGACAAGGGCCCAGGCCCUAUGGGGCGCAGCAGGCGCGAAACCUCUGCAAUAGGCGAAAGCCUGACAGGGUUACUCUGAGUGAUUUCCGUUAAGGAGAUCUUUUGGCACCUCUAAAAAUGGUGCAGAAUAAGGGGUGGGCAAGUCUGGUGUCAGCCGCCGCGGUAAUACCAGCACCCCGAGUGGUCGGGACGUUUAUUGGGCCUAAAGCAUCCGUAGCCGGUUCUGCAAGUCUUCCGUUAAAUCCACCUGCUUAACAGAUGGGCUGCGGAAGAUACUAUAGAGCUAGGAGGCGGGAGAGGCAAGCGGUACUCGAUGGGUAGGGGUAAAAUCCGUUGAUCCAUUGAAGACCACCAGUGGCGAAGGCGGCUUGCCAGAACGCGCUCGACGGUGAGGGAUGAAAACUGGGGGAGCAAACCGGAUUAGAUACCCGGGUAGUCCCAGCUGUAAACGAUGCAGACUCGGUGAUGAAUUGGCUUUAUGCCAAUUCAGUGCCGCAGGGAAGCCGUUAAGUUUGCCGCCUGGGGAGUACGGUCGCAAGACUGAAACUUAACGGAAUUGGCGGGGGAGCACCACAAGGGGUGAAGCCUGCGGUUCAAUUGGAAUCAACGCCGGA